UACGUAGGGCGCAAGCGUUAUCCGGAAUUAUUGGGCGUAAAGAGCUCGUAGGCGGUUUGUCGCGUCUGCUGUGAAAGACCGGGGCUCAACUCCGGUUCUGCAGUGGGUACGGGCAGACUAGAGUGCAGUAGGGGAGACUGGAAUUCCUGGUGUAGCGGUGAAAUGCGCAGAUAUCGGGAGGAACACCGGUGGCGAAGGCGGUUCUCUGGGCCUGACCUGACGCUGAGGAGCGAAAGCGUGGGGAGCGAACAGG
rnacentral:rRNA from 1 species